GGGCCCGUAGCUCAGCGGUAGAGCAGUCGGCUCAUAAUCGAUUGGUCGCUGGUUCGAAUCCAGCCGGGCCCACCA
rnacentral:tRNA from 1 species